rnacentral:rRNA from 1 species
AUUGAACGCUGGCGGCAUGCCUUACACAUGCAAGUCGAACGGCAGCACGGGAGCAAUCCUGGUGGCGAGUGGCGAACGGGUGAGUAAUAUAUCGGAACGUGCCCAGUCGUGGGGAUAACGUAGCGAAAGCUACGCUAAUACCGCAUACGAUCUAUGGAUGAAAGCGGGGGAUCGCAAGACCUCGCGCGAUUGGAGCGGCCGAUAUCAGAUUAGGUAGUUGGUGAGGUAAAGGCUCACCAAGCCGACGAUCUGUAGCUGGUCUGAGAGGACGACCAGCCACACUGGGACUGAGACACGGCCCAGACUCCUACGGAGGCAGCAGUGGGGAAUUUUGGACAAUGGGCGGCAAAGGCCUGAUCCUGCAAUGCCGCGUGCAGGAUGAAGGCCUUCGG